GUGAUUGCUCCCACAGCACAUACGCUAAAAUUGGGACGAUAUGGAGAAGGUUGGCAUGGCCCUUGCUCAAGGAGGACACACAAAUUUGUGAAGUGUUACAUAUUAAA